ensembl:lncRNA SNHG20 small nucleolar RNA host gene 20
GCCCUGACCACAGUUCCGCCGCCAUCGGCCCUAGCCUGCGGAAUUGGGCUCGCCCCGGGACGAUAACAGAGCUCUGCCGGGGGCUGGAGGCACUGACCGGGUGACCAGAGACCCAGAGACCAGACCCCCUCCACGGCGCCCGGGAUUUCGGGGACGGCUUCUCCCAUCGCAAGUUUCAACAGAAAAUGAGAAAUAUCCCCCGACGAUUGGCUGAAAACAUGCAGCAACCACUAUUUUCUUCCUGCCCCUCGUUGAUGAGAGCAUUCGAAGUGACCUCAGCAGGGCAUCCAGGUAUGUCAAGCAUGGUGACAAAGUGUUCAGGUCAGACGGUCUGGGGAAAGGCUCCUGUGUUGUUGAGCCUGCCAAGUUGUGGGUGCAGCAUGGUACCAGGCAGCCCAACCCUGACCUAAAGUAAAUUCCCGGAAGAAGUCUUUCCUGGGUUUUGAAUUUGCAGUAACAGGUGUGAGCAUUCUAGCAGCAGUUUGAUGAUCAUGUAUGAUACUGCAAACAGGACCUACGUUUAAAGAAAAUGGUUGUAGUUAGUAUCAGAGAGCCCUUGCUUUUCAAAACUUCAUAAACAAUGUUACUGUCAUGUCUUUCAUUCAAUAAACAUUUGUUGAUACAUUGGCCUGACAUCAUGUUAAAUGUUACGGAUACAGAGAUGAAGAAAACAGUCAUGGCCCUUGUUCUCUGGGAACUACAACCCAGUUAGGGAGACAAGGUUAAAUGAUCACACUUAAGAGGGCAUAAUUCAGCCAGGUGCAGUGGCUCAUGCCUGUAAUCCCAGCACUUUGGGAGGCCGAGGCGGGUGGAUCACCUGAUGUCAGGAGUUCGAGACCAGUCUGGCCA